CCCUGCUCUCACAUUUGCAUAGGGGCUGGGCGCUGGACGCGGGCUCCGGGCCUUGGGGGCGCGAGGGGGCCGCCGCCGAAGUUGGGCCGAGGGCCGGCGACGGUGCCGCGCCGGGAUCGCAGGGUGCCAGGUUGCGUGGCGUUCCUGGGACAGUCUCUGGACGUCGCCGAGCGGAGAGCAGCAGCCCUGGACAAGCGUGGACUGGAGCCUCCAGAACCAACCUCCUGAGGGCCACCUCUGGGAACUCUCUUAAGGAAAACAUUGACAGAUUUGGCUUUUCUGUGCAUUUCUGCCACUUUCGCAAGGUCACCACGAAGGGAGUGAGGACCGCCCGGCCUCAUCUGUGGUGCCCGGCAACACGCCCCUCCAGGAGGCCGGUGGCACUGGCGCAGUCCUGGACCGGACCACUGGGCCUGCCCUCUCUGCUGGGUGUUCUCAAGUCCCCUGUGAACAUCUGCCGGGCGUGGAGUGUGCACAGAGCAGCCGCCAGCAGGCCUGCAGGUGCCUGGAUGCCUGCAGCGGGCCCGGCCCCCUCUCCGGGCAGUGGGGGUUGAUGGCUGGAGUCUGCUGUUGGGGGAGAGGCCUGAGGGAUUCGCAUGGAUGUGGACUUUUCUUGGAGUGACCCUGUCCUGAUGGUCACUGUGGUGUCACACCCAGCAGGUUUGGUAGGGCCCCAGGUCCUGUCGGUGACGGAGGCUGUGGUGGCCUUGAGGUGGGCAACCAGUGGAGCUGAUUUACCGACACUGGGCAGCGACUUUCUGUGGGCGACCCCCGUGAACCCCGGUGUUCUCAGCCAGCCCUAGAGGGCGCUUUUGUGCUGGGGGUGGGAAGGAACUCUGAGGUCAGUGGGGGCUCCUGUGCUGUCGCCCAACACAGCCUGGCCCCGAAGGGCAGCCAUGACCAGUGGCAAUGGCUGCCCCGUCCCACACAGCAGCCGGGGUCCUGCCUCAGCUCCCUGGGGGGCUGGCCAGGCCUGGCUCGGUCCUGCCCUGCUGUGAACAACGUCUGGGGGAGCGGGGCUUUUCCUCACCUCAGCACGGCUCACGUCAUCAUUGUCGAUGUACAAUUGAAAACUCGAAAGUAAACUUUGCGGCCACUCA